rnacentral:rRNA from 1 species
CACACCGCCCGUCGCACCAUGGGAGUUGAUUGCACCAGAAGUAGGUAGCCUAACCGCAAGGAGGGCGCUUACCACGGUGUGGUCAAUGACUGGGGUG